rnacentral:rRNA from 10 species
CCUUCCGUAGGUGAACCUGCGGAAGGAUCAUUAC